rnacentral:tRNA from 1 species
GCCGCUGUGGUGGAAUGGUAGACACAGGGGACUUAAAAUCCCCCGGUAGCGAUACUGUACGGGUUCGAGUCCCGUCAGCGGCACCA